ACGGGUGAGUAACGCGUGGUCAACCUACCGUUGAGUGGGGGAUAACUAGCCGAAAGGUUAGCUAAUACCGCAUACGUCUUCGAGGGGCAUCCCUUGGCGAUAAAAGGAGCAAUCCGCUCGAUGACGGGACCGCGUCCCAUUAGCUAGAUGGUGGGGUAACGGCCUACCAUGGCACCGAUGGGUAGCUGGUUUGAGAGAGCGACCAGCCACACUGGGACUGAGAAACGGCCCAG
rnacentral:rRNA from 1 species